UACGUAGGGUGCAAGCGUUAAUCGGAAUUACUGGGCGUAAAGCGUGCGCAGGCGGUUAUAUAAGACAGUUGUGAAAUCCCCGGGCUCAACCUGGGAACUGCAUCUGUGACUGUAUAGCUAGAGUACGGUAGAGGGGGAUGGAAUUCCGCGUGUAGCAGUGAAAUGCGUAGAUAUGCGGAGGAACACCGAUGGCGAAGGCAAUCCCCUGGACCUGUACUGACGCUCAUGCACGAAAGCGUGGGGAGCAAACAG
rnacentral:rRNA from 1 species